rnacentral:ncRNA from 1 species
GAAACGUAGAAGUACUUGAUGUUCUGUAAGUAAAAUAGCAAUGUUUGAACACGAUGUUCAAACAAACCGCCACUGAGCCAUGGAUGGCGAAUUGGCGGUGGUUGCGUUCGGUAUCAGAAGGUAAAUCAGAACAUCUAGAACUUCUUGGUUUC